rnacentral:rRNA from 1 species
GGAGCAACGCCGCGUGAACGAUGAAGGCCUUCGGGUCGUAAAGUUCUGUUGUUAGGGAAGAACAAGUACCGUUCGAAUAGGUCGGUACCUUGACGGUACCUAACGAGGAAGCCCCGGCUAACUACGUGCCAGCAGCCGCGGUAAUACGUAGGGGGCAAGCGUUGUCCGGAAUUAUUGGGCGUAAAGCGCGCGCAGGCGGUUCCUUAAGUCUGAUGUGAAAGCCCACGGCUUAACCGUGGAGGGUCAUUGGAAACUGGGGAGCUUGAGUACAGAAGAGGAGAGUGGAAUUCCACGUGUAGCGGUGAAAUGCGUAGAUAUGUGGAGGAACACCAGUGGCGAAGGCGACUCUCUGGUCUGUAACUGACGCUGAGGCGCGAAAGCGUGGGGAGCGAACAGGAUUAGAUACCCUGGUAGUCCACGCCGUAAACGAUGAGUGCUAGGUGUUAGGGGGUUUCCGCCCCUUAGUGCUGAAGUUAACGCAUUAAGCACUCCGCCUG